rnacentral:rRNA from 1 species
GACGAACGCUGGCGGCGCGCUUAACACAUGCAAGUCGAACGGAAAGGCCUGCUUUCCCUUGUGGAUUGCGGGUACUCGAGUGGCGAACGGGUGAGUAACACGUGAGUGAUCUGCCCCCAACUUGGGUAUAAGCCUGGGAAACUGGGUCUAAUUCCCGAUAGGACUGCAGGGUGGUGCCUGUGGUGGAAAACGAUUUUCUAGUGGUUGGGGAUGAGCUCGCGGCCUAUCAGCUUGUUGGUGGGGUAAUGGCCUACCGAGGCGGCGACGGGUAGCCGGCCUGAGAGGGUGGACGGCCACAUUGGGACUGAGAUACGGCCCAGACUCCUACGGGAGGCAGCAGUGGGGAAUAUUGCACAAUGGGCGGAAGCCUGAUGCAGCGACGCCGCGUGGAGGAUGACGGCCUUCGGGUUGUAAACUCCUUUCGACCGCGAGGAAGCCACCUGGUUGGAAGGGUGGUGACGGUAGUGGUAGAAGAAGCACCGGCUAACUACGUG